rnacentral:pre_miRNA from 1 species
UGGUUUUAUCUGAAGUCAAACUUUCUUAAGUUUAACCAAAUUUAUAUAAAAGAUUAUCAAUUUUUAUGAUACCAAAUAAAUAUACUAUAAAAAUAUAUUUCAUUAUGAAUCUAAUGAUGCUUAUUUGGUUUCCUAAAAACUAGUAAUUUUUUGUAUAAAUUUGGUCAAACUUAAGACAGUUUGACUUCAGACAAAACCAA